rnacentral:lncRNA from 1 species
CAUGGUGUUACCUAAGCCUACCUAGAUACAACAUCAGUAUCUGACCAAAUGUAUUUGAGGCCCAUCCCUUUCUUCAUCUUUUUCCCUGAUGGGUGGUAUAAAAGAAUAGUCAACACAGCAUGUCAAUAAAAGGGAAUGGCAAAGCAAUAAAAUGCCACAACUAGGCUCAGAAAAACCAUAAAGCUGUCAUGUGUUCAUCUUUACAAACCAAUUUGGUCCUGGUCAUUUUACUGUAUUCCUACUUCACUUAUACCGUAUCCUCUUCUCUGUUUCCCUCCUCGUGUCAGCUGCAGGGACAGUUUCAUCUAAAUGGAAUGAACAAGGUUGGAGAUAUCAUUCUGGGGGGACUGUUUCCAGUUCACUUUUUCUCAAGUGUUCCUCAUCCAUCUUUUACCUCAGAGCCACAACAGCCUACUUGCCAUAGGUGAGUUAUUUUGCCACAUGUUCUUGUUUGAGUGACCAUCGAAAAUAUCCAUCCUUCUUUAGGACAAUCCCAAGUGAUGCUUUCCAGGUAAAAUUCAAUCAGCAGAAUUAUUACAAUUGCCAGUAGAUGAUAAGUAGCUAAUCCAUUGAAAGUUUUCUUAUUAUCUAUGCUCUCA